rnacentral:rRNA from 1 species
AUACGUAGGUGGCAAGCGUUGUCCGGAAUUAUUGGGCGUAAAGCGCAUGUAGGCGGUUUGGUAAGUCGGUCGUGAAAAUGCGGUGCUUAACGCCGUAUGGCGAUUGAAACUGCUGAACUUGAGUGCAGGAGAGGAAAGGGGAACUCCCAGUGUAGCGGUGAAAUGCGUAGAUAUUGGGAAGAACACCGGUGGCGAAGGCGCCUUUCUGGACUGAGUCUGACGCUCAGGUGCGAAAGCCAGGUUAGCGAACGGGAUUAGAUACCCUGGUAGUCCUGGCCGUAAACGAUGGGUACUAGGUGGGAGAGGUAUCGACUCCUUCCGUGCCGGAGUUAACGGAAUAAGUACCCCGCCUGGGGAGUACGGCCGCUAGGCUGAAACUUAAAGGAAUUGACGGGG